GUAUUACAAGUGGCGGCCAUUUUGUUUGUUGACGGAAACGUGAUGACAGCUUAGGCCUAGAACAAAAUCACGUUAUAUAUACAGUAUAUAUUGGCGACAUUUAAUUUCCCCACUCACGGAAUACAAUCGACAAACUGGGAACAGAAUAUCAAAUUUUGUCUAGCUUUUGGCGACUUAUGAUACCCCUUUCACCGGCAAACACUGAAUUAUCGGACAACAUGAAAUCAGGGACUAAAUUCACCAGCAUUCAUGAUCCUCGGACCACCCGCCCCCUACGCACAGCCGAUUUAUAAAUGUUGCAUCUUUCAAUCAGUGUCAAUCCCAAGAAGAACCCUGAUCAGCUCCUGGAAAAAUCAGUGUUCUUGCAGUAUUGUCAGUCAAAUCUCAAGGAAAGGAUCCCAGAAGAGGAACAUUUACAUUAUUUCAGACUUUUUUCUUUCCUGUGUAACAAUGCCUCAAAC